rnacentral:rRNA from 1 species
CGAGCGAACAGACGAGGAGCUUGCUCCUCUGACGUUAGCGGCGGACGGGUGAGUAACACGUGGAUAACCUACCUAUAAGACUGGGAUAACUUCGGGAAACCGGAGCUAAUACCGGAUAAUAUAUUGAACCGCAUGGUUCAAUAGUGAAAGACGGUUUUGCUGUCACUUAUAGAUGGAUCCGCGCCGCAUUAGCUAGUUGGUAAGGUAACGGCUUACCAAGGCAACGAUGCGUAGCCGACCUGAGAGGGUGAUCGGCCACACUGGAACUGAGACACGGUCCAGACUCCUACGGGAGGCAGCAGUAGGGAAUCUUCCGCAAUGGGCGAAAGCCUGACGGAGCAACGCCGCGUGAGUGAUGAAGGUCUUCGGAUCGUAAAACUCUGUUAUUAGGGAAGAACAAAUGUGUAAGUAACUAUGCACGUCUUGACGGUACCUAAUCAGAAAGCCACGGCUAACUACGUGCCAGCAGCCGCGGUAAUACGUAGGUGGCAAGCGUUAUCCGGAAUUAUUGGGCGUAAAGCGCGCGUAGGCGGUUUUUUAAGUCUGAUGUGAAAGCCCACGGCUCAACCGUGGAGGGUCAUUGGAAACUGGAAAACUUGAGUGCAGAAGAGGAAAGUGGAAUUCCAUGUGUAGCGGUGAAAUGCGCAGAGAUAUGGAGGAACACCAGUGGCGAAGGCGACUUUCUGGUCUGUAACUGACGCUGAUGUGCGAAAGCGUGGGGAUCAAACAGGAUUAGAUACCCUGGUAGUCCACGCCGUAAACGAUGAGUGCUAAGUGUUAGGGGGUUUCCGCCCCUUAGUGCUGCAGCUAACGCAUUAAGCACUCCGCCUGGGGAGUACGACCGCAAGGUUGAAACUCAAAGGAAUUGACGGGGACCCGCACAAGCGGUGGAGCAUGUGGUUUAAUUCGAAGCAACGCGAAGAACCUUACCAAAUCUUGACAUCCUCUGACCCCUCUAGAGAUAGAGUUUUCCCCUUCGGGGGACAGAGUGACAGGUGGUGCAUGGUUGUCGUCAGCUCGUGUCGUGAGAUGUUGGGUUAAGUCCCGCAACGAGCGCAACCCUUAAGCUUAGUUGCCAUCAUUAAGUUGGGCACUCUAAGUUGACUGCCGGUGACAAACCGGAGGAAGGUGGGGAUGACGUCAAAUCAUCAUGCCCCUUAUGAUUUGGGCUACACACGUGCUACAAUGGACAAUACAAAGGGCAGCGAAACCGCGAGGUCAAGCAAAUCCCAUAAAGUUGUUCUCAGUUCGGAUUGUAGUCUGCAACUCGACUAUAUGAAGCUGGA